AUUUAGAUAGCUCAGAAGGUUAGAGCGUUGGUCUGAAAAACCAAAGGUCGAUGGUUCGAUUCCAUCUCUAAGCA
rnacentral:tRNA from 1 species